UCCUGGCUCAGAACGAACGCUGGCGGCAGGCCUAACACAUGCAAGUCGAGCGCACCUUCGGGUGAGCGGCGGACGGGUGAGUAACGCGUGGGAAUAUGCCCUUUGGUACGGAAUAGUCCUGGGAAACUGGGGGUAAUACCGUAUGCGCCCUUCGGGGGAAAGAUUUAUCGCCAAAGGAUUAGCCCGCGUUGGAUUAGGUAGUUGGUGGGGUAAUGGCCUACCAAGCCGACGAUCCAUAGCUGGUUUGAGAGGAUGAUCAGCCACACUGGGACUGAGACACGGCCCAGACUCCUACGGGAGGCAGCAGUGGGGAAUCUUAGACAAUGGGGGCAACCCUGAUCUAGCCAUGCCGCGUGAGUGAUGAAGGCCCUAGGGUUGUAAAGCUCUUUCAGCUGGGAAGAUAAUGACGGUACCAGCAGAAGAAGCCCCGGCUAACUCCGUGCCAGCAGCCGCGGUAAUACGGAGGGGGCUAGCGUUGUUCGGAAUUACUGGGCGUAAAGCGCACGUAGGCGGACCGGAAAGUUGGGGGUGAAAUCCCGGGGCUCAACCCCGGAACUGCCUUCAAAACUAUCGGUCUGGAGUUCGAGAGAGGUGAGUGGAAUUCCGAGUGUAGAGGUGAAAUUCGUAGAUAUUCGGAGGAACACCAGUGGCGAAGGCGGCUCACUGGCUCGAUACUGACGCUGAG
rnacentral:rRNA from 1 species